CCGUAGCCUAUUAGAGGGGGAUAACUAUUGGAAACGAUAGCUAAUACCGCAUGACAGUAUGUAACACAUGUUAGAUGCUUGAAAGAUGCAAUUGCAUCGCUAGUAGAUGGACCUGCGUUGUAUUAGCUAGUAGGUAGGGUAAUGGCCUACCUAGGCGACGAUACAUAGCCGACCUGAGAGGGUGAUCGGCCACACUGGGACUGAGACACGGCCCAG
rnacentral:rRNA from 1 species